UUAAAUAUUCUUGGAAGAGAUCUUUCAAAAACUAUAAUAAUUGACAACUCACCACAAGCCUUUGCAUAUCAGGUAAAAUAUAAGUAAAAGAGGAUUUAAUUAUUAUUUAUUGUUUUAGCUUUCUAAUGGAAUCCCUAUAGAAAGUUGGUUUAUGGAUAAAAAUGACAAUGAACUCCUAAAAUUGAUUCCAUUCCUGGAGAAGCUUGUAGAACUGAAUGAAGAUGUUCGACCACACAUCAGAGACAGAUUUCGCUUGCAUGAUUUGCUGCCCCCAGAUUAAGUACAAAGACUUGUCAAAUCACUGAAGGGGGAGAGAAUGCAGGACCCUUUUGGACUAAGACAAAAACAUUGCCAUUACUGUUGAAAUUUUGCAUUUUUGUACCCCGUCUUGCUUUUCUUAUCUUUGGUGCCCAAUAAUAAUCAAGGGUUACAGAAAGAGACUUUAUCUAUCUCAGAUUGAAUACAUAUAGUAGGUAGGCUAAAACAGAAGAGUCUUUAGAACUAGUGCAACUCCAGUGAAAUUUUUUAUGUACAGGACAUCU
rnacentral:sRNA from 1 species